AAGCACGUAGUUAAACAAGUUGAAAAAUUCAAAGGCUCAAUUAUAUAAAAACGUAGCAAGAAUUCAUCCUCCGAAAGGUUUCAUGAAACCCUAGAUAAGAAAUUAGCUAUUCGUGAUGGUAUAUAAAAAUACAACACCAAAAUUCAUAGCAAUGGAAAAAUAGAAAGGAAGAGGAAAAAACGUGAAGUUGAACCCUUCUCAUUUCUCCAAGUGUGUUCUUCCCUUCCCAAAAUCUUCUCUCUCUAAAGUAGUGUCUUCCCCUUCAAAAUCAUGUUUUAGGAUGUAUUUAUAGUGACUAGGGUUUGUGUUGGGCGAAUUUUUCUUCUCCUAUUUCGGAUUGAAAAAGCUAAUUAUUCUGCUCCGAUCCUGGUCUGGCGAGUGAACCAUGCUUCGCUAUUUGGGAUUUUCCUGGUUUCUUCUUCUCUAGUCUCGGUCUGGAGAAGUGAACCUUGCUUCGCUAUCGGGGCUUUUCUCUUAAGCUCUUUUUUACCAAUUUUUCUCGCAUUUGAUCAUUUUCCGCUCAAGUUUGUUCCUACACAUAAUAAACACGUAAUGAGCAUAUUUUCACUUCAAAAGUAGUGUGAACUCCCGCAAUCACACAAAAAAUAACACACAAACACACUCAAAACAUGCGUUUUUCAUUCUUUAUCACCAUCCCACACUUAAACUCUUACACUUCCUCUAUCAACUUAAAAUUAAACACAUGUGCAAGAAACACAUUUUAAAACAUACUCAGACAUCACACCAAUUAUCACGCCCUGAACCAUGGCUGGCGUAACACGACACUCGGUGUCUAACUACAUGUGAUCGAGCAAACCAAUUGGAUGGUUGGAUCAACAUGUGGUAUAAUUGUAAGCUGAAUAUAAACACGACUAACCCUGGACCUUAAAUGGGUCUGAUGGAAACAUGCGAAUACUGAAUGUCAUGAACACGUGUAUAUUAAACUAAACGAAUACAUGAUUACUGAACUAUUGAGAUACUGAACUGAAUGACAACUGGAUUAAUUGAAUCGGAGCUGACUAAAUACUGAAAUAUAUAGAGAUUAUAAUAUAAGGUGUAAAUGGAAAGAUUAAUUACCUUCUACAUUUUCUGUUUGCUCUUCAAAUAUAUGGGGAUAUUUGGAUUUCAUGUCCUCUUUAGCUCCCCUCAUAGCCUCUUCAACCUUUUGAUUAUUACAGAGCACUUUCACUUAAGCAAUUUCCUUAGUUCUGAGCUUGCGGAUUUGACGAUCAAGAAUAGCCACUGAAUUUCUUCGCAAGUCCUAUCUUUCCUAUUAUCUCCGUAGGAACCACAAUAGACAGGUCUCCUAUGAAUUCUUCAACAGAGACACAUGAAACACUAGGUGUACAAUAGCUAAUUCUUGUGGCGAUUCUAACUCAUAAGCCACCUGCCCGAUCCGUCGCAGGAUUAUAUAUGCCCCAAUAUAGCAGGGACUAAGUUUCCCCUUCUUCCCAAAUCUCAUAACGCCUUUCAUAGGCGAAACUUUCAGAAACACACAAUCAUCAACUUAGAACUCUAAGUCUCUACGACGCACAUCUGAAUAGGACUAUUGGUGACUCUGAGCCGCCUUCAAACGCUCUUGUAUCAAUUUGACUUUCUUCAUAGCCUAAUAGACCAAAUCGGGUCCUAAAAACUCCGCUUCGCCAACUUCGAACCAACCAAUUGGUGAUCUACACCUUCGCCCAUACAGAGCUUCGUACGAUGCCAUCUUGAUACUAGAGUAAUAGUUGUUAUUAUAAGAAAACUCAAUGAGGGGUAGAUUAUCAUCCAAAUUACCUUUAAAGUCGAUAACACACGCCCUCAAUAUAUCCUCAAGCAUUUGAAUGGUGCACUCUGCAUGGCCAUCUGUCUGAGGAUGAAAAGUGUUGAGGUUCACUCUUGUGUCCAAUCCUUUCUGAAAGAAUUUCCAAAAGUUCAUUGUGAACUGAGCACCACGAUCUGAGAUGAUGGACAAAGGAGUCCCAAGAAAUCGAACAAUUUCCUAGAUAACAAUUUGGCAUAAUCCUCUACUAAAUCUAUAGUCCUCACUGGCAAAAAGUGAGCUGACUUGGUAAGUCGGUCUACAAUUACCCAAAUCGAAUCAUGCUUCCGAAAUGAGCAAGGUAAACCUAUUAUGAAGUACAUGUUUUAUCAUCUCUCAUUUCCAAAUAGGAAUUUUUAUACGCUGAUCCAAACCACCAGGCCUCUGGUUUUCGGCUUUCACUUGUUGAAAAUUUGGACACUUAGCCACAAAACCUGUUGCGUUCUUUUUCAUGUCGUUCCAGCAAAAUCUCCUUAAGAUCAUGAUACAUCUUUUUGGAACAUGGGUGAAUAGAAUACUUGGAGUUGUGGGCUUCUAACAUAAUCCGCUCUUUGAACCAUUCUACGUCUUAAAGCAUAGUUUGCCUUCAUACCUCAAAGUACUAUUAUAUCCCCCUUAUUCAAAAGUCCUAGUCUUGAAUUUGUAAACCCAUCCUUCAGCCGCAAUAAGUAGGGAUCACCCAACUACUUUUCCUUCACUUCGGCUACCAAGGAGGAUUCAACCCUGUUCUGACGAACAACUCCACCAUCUUCGGAGUCCAAAAGUCAAACUCCUACACUUACUAAGCAGUGGACUUCCUUCGUCAUAGUUCGCUUCUCUCCUCAACAUGAGCUAUGCUUCCCAUAGACGCCGAAUGAGAGCAUCGGCUACAACAUUUUCUUUCCCCGAAUGAUAGAGGAUAUCAACAUCAUAAUAUUUGAGAAAUUCGAGCCAUCUUCUCUGACAUAGAUUCAAUUCUCCUUGCUUGAAGAUGUAGUGAAGACUCUUGUGAUCAAUAAAAAUGUCAACAUGCACCCCAUACAAAUAAUGGUGCCAGACUUAAAUGCAAAUACCAGGGCUGCUAACUCAAGAUCAUAAGUCAGAUAAUUCUUCUCGUGAGCUUUGAGUUGUCUCGAUGCGUAGGCUAUGACUUUAUCAUGUUGCAUUAAUACACACCCAAGACUAACCUCUAAAGUAUCACAAUAAACAAUGAACCCUUCGGUUCCUUCUAGUAGUGUCAAAACUGGAGCUGAAGUCAACCCUUUCUUUAAUUCCUCAAAAAAAUUUAUGCAAGUGCCUGAACACUGAAACUUGACCUUCUUCUGAGUCAAUCUAGACAAAGGGGAUAAGAUAGAGGAAAAUCCCUCUAUGAAAUGUCUGUAAUAACUAUCACACCUCCUUUUUCUUACCCUAGGAAGGGAGUAAGGAAGUCUUUUCCAAUUAAAAUGACAAUCGAAACGUGAUUAUUUGUUUUAAAUUCAGAGUUGCCACUUGGAAUAAUUUAUGUUGUCCCAAGUCACCAGUUUAAAUCCCGUAUCGAGGAAAGAUUGACUCUGUUCAUAGUCCAUGAACAUAUAAAUCCGGGUAAGAAAUUCUGUUAACCCAGAAGAAGGUGUUAGGCAUUCCCAGGUUCCAUGGUUCUAGCACGAUCACUCAACUAUUAUAUUUGGCCUAUUUACUGAUUUUAAAACACCUUUACGCCUAUGUUUAGUUUUACUUAAAACCGAUUUUAAUUAUUUUAAGGAAGAUUUCAACGUCAUCUAAAAUACGUCUUUGGACCACGCCACAUGAAAUGCGCCCGCAGUACAGGACACACUUUAUUUAACAUUGUUAAGAUUUGAAUUUGGGUCACAUAAAAUACACAUUGGGUUUUAGAAAGGUAAUUUUUUAAAUAGUGUGCCUAAAGCAACUACGCACUUUUUAUUUUGCGAGGGACAUGAAAAAUUCAACUAAAUGGCAUGCCUCAAUUUCUAAGGAUUUAGAUAUUCCAGAUUAAUUAAAUGAGGGUCGUGCCCUUUGAGAUUUUAUUUGGCACAUCACACCUCGAUUCCAAUUUUUAAAGGGAAAUUCAACCUAAAUUUUUGAGGGCCAUAAGAUAUAUGCGUUAUAUGAUAUGGCUCAUCUCGAUUCAUUUUAAGAAGACUAGUUAAUUAAGAGAAAAUUUAAAGGGAUUUUAAUCAACCAUUCAAACUCAUAUAACAACUAACUAAAGAGCUGAACUUGAGAAAAUGUCAUGGGCUCAAGUACCCAAGAGGUAAGCAGUCUGAUUACAAAGGCCUUCAAGCAUGGGCCCAAAAUAAGCUUAACUAUUGGUUACGACAAGGACGUCCAAGAGCAGAUAGUACGCAAACCAGUUCUGAUUUUUGAACACCAUAAUUGGGCCAGCUUUAGGCCCAAUUUUCAUAACUAAAACUUAUGCAAAAUCAAUAAUAACAAUCAACCCAAAACCAUAUGAAAAUAUGAAAUUACACUAGCAUUUAAUUAUGAGUUUUUAUUACUAAAUAAGAUUCCAAUUUAUAUGACAUGAAUUUCGAGUCCAACCCAAUACGAGAAAAUCCAGCAGCAACAAAAGAAACAUUGGGCUCAAGAAACAAGCUCGAGCAACCAUGGUAUACUAUCUUCUCUUUCUAAGGACCUCAAAGUCCAGGCUUAUGAGGACCAAGCCUUGCCAAAAUCCAAAUCAAGGACCAAGACUCCAUAUUGAGUUCUCACCAGCAAUAAAAUACCAGUUGCAUUUAAAAAAACAAAGGAUGAGCUUCAUCAUUCCACAAUCACUAGAACAUAGGAAAAUUGUAAAAGCUACUAAAAAUGCCUGCUUAAACUUUAGCUAUACUAAUAAUGCAUUUUACCAAUAUUCAUGCUUGAAUCGAAACUUAAACCCAAACACGGCUUAAAAACCCCUCAAAACCAUUCACCUUCCUCAAUACCAAACAGUCCCGAGUUCUAGAUAAUUAGCACAAGUCGCUUAAAUCCAAAUUCAACACCCAAACUUCUUUAAGAGCAUAAGCUCAUUUCUGUAGCACAUCAAUAACCUAAGGUAACUAAGCUAACAUGUACAACACAUGAUCCACUAGAACUUUUAAAGAAAUGGAAGAAGCAAAGAAAAUGGAAUCCAAGACUACUUGCAUUCAAUCAGGCCUCAAUUGGAAGUACAUGUUUUUAGCUAAUUGUUGACAAUGGUUUGAAGUAAUACCCGGAAAAUGCCAAAAGGAAAACCCAAGAGAGUGAGGGAGAAGCAAACAACAGAAAUCAAUGCUGUAACAGUACAAGAACCCAGAUUCAAGCAAUAAAAUAAUAAGAAAACCAAAUAGCAACACUUAAAACAAGCUUUUGCAGGUCCCAAAUUCAAUCCAUUUCGACCUAAUUGCAAGAUUUUGCCAUUUUCGGGAAUGUUAACCAAGCAAUGGAGAUCAGAAAACAAGAAACCAAACGAAUUUUGAGUAGUUUUUAACAAGGAAAUAUAGGGAAUUCAAGAAUAUUUCAAAGUUUUUCUACGGAAGUAGCCGCUUUAGCUUUUAGGAUCUUUUUCUCUCUAAAAUCUGACUUCAAUCUCUAGUAACGAUGCAUUUAUAAGAAAGGUAUUAGGGCUGAAAAAAAUAGGCUAAGUUUUGCACCCUAACCCUUUUGAAAUUUUGGUUUUUGCUUAGACACCCUUAGUGUAAAAUUCAAAAUUUCAGAUUAAUCCGCACCCCAACUUCUAGGAAGCUUCCUCAGUUAGUUACAAGAAAUUCUCCAAGCUAAACUAUCCAAAGUACCCUUUAAACCCCUGCUUUUUACUUCAGAAACCAAAUGGGUCAAAUUCCUAUUUACUUAAACCCCCAAAUGAAUGGGCUAUUCUUUUGAACAUAGGUCGAAGUUGAACCCAAGGCCUAAAAAACAAUGGAUCCAACUAGAUUCUGAUUUUAUCAAGAGCAGAAAAUAUUUGAAAACUAAGUUUUAACUACUUGACUGAUUAAUUCCAUAACCAAGCAAAAAGUGAAUUAGGUUAUUAAAAUGAGACGACCUAAUGAAAUUCACUUAUGAGACUAAAACAAAAGUAAAAUCAAAGGUUCAAGUGUGUUAGUAACAAAAUCAGAAAAUGGACCUUUAAACCUCGACAUGAAAACUGAGCCAAAAAACGAACACAAAAAUUAACACCAUUCAGAAACUUGCUCGAAUCAGUCUACUUCAAGAAAGAUGAGAAUAGAAGAAGAGGAAUAUGACAUGAGUCAAAAGUGGACAAAAGAAAAAGAUCAAGGAAAGCUUACCGCCUCGACCCCAAUGAUGCACUCCUUGAUUUAACACAAUCAAUGUUAGUCGCUUGUUCUUUGUUAAGAACAAACUACCAACACCUCUUAUGCCAAAUUAGAAUCGAAAAAUCAUGAGACUAUGGACACCUGUGGUCAUGCAAGCCACAUAAUCAUAGGCAAAGUGAUUUGGCUUCCUAGGCUUCGAACUUUGAUUCGAGAUUUGAAGGGAUUGAGAAAUAUUCGAGGGGAGCUGUGCUGAGAUUCGUAGAGAGGAGGGUGAGAUUGUUCCGGGGUGUAGUUUUGAAGCUAGUUUGAAGCGGCAGCGCUGGCGAGUGGAUAGGGCAGCGGAUUAGGUUUUUGAGAUGGAGGAGAUGAAACGAAUGAGUGUUUUGGGUGAACUAACUGGUCUCUGAGGUAUUUCGGACAAUUUUAUUUAAGAUAAAGAGGGUUUUUGGGUCGUUUGAUGAAUGAGAAGGAAGGACUUGGAUUGAUUUGAGUUACAGGAACUUAGGACGACAUCAUUUUGGUUUUGAAUGGGGCUAACCGGGUAGAGAGUCUGGUUUUGGGAUUGGGUGGACGAGUAUUUGAUGCUAGAAGACUUGGGCUUGUGGAAAAAACAAAUAAAAGGGCCCAUAAUCUGAAUCUUUCCACUUCUUUUCGUUUUAAUUAUUUCAAAAUUCUUUUCUUUUCUCAAAAUUAAAAUAAAACCUAAAUUAAAUCCAAACCCCAAACUAUACUACCAAAUUAAGUUAAUUACUCUAGAUAAUAAUUACCACGAUUAAUUAAAAAUUAAAUUAAAAGAAAAACUAAAAAAUUCGAAACUCAAAACUAAAAAUACAAACUGAGUUAUUUUUGUGACUUUUCUAUUUUUUAUGAAACAAACUACUCUUCCAAUUAAUCUAAAAAUGUAAAAUUAAAUCCUAAAUGAAAAUACAGUAUAUUUUUUGUAUUUUCAUGAGUUAAACAAAAUUAAAUAUACACAGACAAAUGCAAGCAACUAACAAAGAAAUGCCACAAAAAUUCAUAUAAGUGCAAACACUGGGAAAAAAUUAUUUAUUUGAAUUUAUGGGAGUAACUCAUAUAGGGAAAAAAUCACGUGCUCUCAACUGCCCCUCUUUAUUUGGAAACACGAAGAGUUUCUGUGAAAAUACAAAGUGAGCAGAUACGAGCGAUUUUUGCCUGUUUGAAUACUCCGUAGGAAGCAUUUUUGAAAGACCUUGAUCGCACCCUGCUUCCGAGGUUGCCUACAUAUCCUUGGCUAUAAAGGAAUCAGGUCAGUGUAGUUUGGAAAAUUUCGGUAGCUGGGGCCCAUGAAGCUGUGAUUUCACUAUUGCUGCUGCUGCUACUGCUUACUGAACUCCUUAUUAUACCAUGACAAAAUAAAAGAAGCUAGACUAAACUAUGAUCUAUGCAUUACAAAAAUCCUAUCUAUAUUCUCAAACUUGAUCUUGUGAUUCCUGUUGCCUUGUUGACUUGUACUCUCCAGGUGAAGUUCCUUUGCUGCUGACUUGAGUUGUAAUCUGAGAUGUUUUCCCUUUUCUCCAGGUGGGUGCCUGAUUGUUAAACUUGAACUGUCUUCCUUUGAACAUUGUUGCUUCCCAUCGUUCUUCAGGUGGGCUCCUGAUUUCCAACACUUGCGAUGCUUUUCCUCGAAACUUGAACUGAUGGUUAGUUCUUCAGGUGGGCUCCUGAUUACCAACACUUGAGUUGCUUUGUUCUCCAGGUGGCUCCUGAUUAUCGACACUUGAAUUAUUUUGUUCUCCAUGUGGGAUCCUAAUUACUAACACUUGAAUUGCUUUGUUCUGCAGGUGGCCCCUGAUUACCGAUACUUGAAUUGCUUUGUUCUCUAGGUGGGCUCCUGAUUACCGACACUUGAAUUGCUUUGUUCUUCAGGUGGACUCCUGAUUACCAACACUUGAAUUUCUUUAUUCUAGGUGGGCUCCUGAUUACCAACACUUGAAUUGCUUUGCUGUGCAGGGGCCCCCUGAUUACCGACAUUUGAGUUGAUUUGUUCUCCAGGUGGGCUCCUGAUUACCAACACUUGAAUUACUUUGUUCUCCAGGUGAGAUCCUAAUUACCAACACUUGAAUUGCUUUGUUUUCUAGGUGGGAUCCAGAUUACCAACACUUGAAUGACUUUGUUCUUCAGGUGGGUUCCUGAUUGCCAACACUUGAAUUGCUUUGUUCUCCAGAUGGGCUCCUGAUUAUCGUCACUUGAAUUGUUUUGUUCUCCAGGUGGGUUCAUGAUUACCGACACUUGAAUUGCUUUCUAUCCUUACAACUAGCGUUGUUUUCCCUUGCUCUCCAAGUGGACUCCUAAUUUCAUCAAAAUAGACUAAACAAGGAAAAUUUUCUGCCCCAGUUUGGUAAAUGGUCACAUCUGUAAGUGUUAACUGAAUCAUGUUACCAAAUUUUACUAAGAAUUUGAAAGCUAGAUCCCAUUAUCUAGGAGGGUCCUAAAACUUCUAGUAAAAUGCUAGUUUUAAAGCUAAAUAAUAUCUUCUAAAGCUAUGACUUCUGCUAAAUCUUGUUAUCUAAGAACAACUACAUCUCAUUAUCCUGGGGGGUCAUGAAAAUCAAAAUCAAGUUUUAUCUUAAGAGUGACAAAAUUUAAGGCUAAUUUAUAUUUCCUUACGGUAGAACUUAGCUAAAUCUCGUUAUCUAAUGGAAUUCAUAAGGCUAGGUCCCAUUAUUUAGAAGGAUCCUGAAAAUUUUAAAUUAAGUCCCAUAAUCCAUGAGGGUCCUGAGAAUUUAUGACCAAACCUUUCUGGUGCUUGUUUUCCUUUACGGAGGGUUUUAUCCGACACAAACAAAAUUUCCUUCCCCUGUUUCAAAUCAAAAAAGAAUUUUGUCAGUUUAAAAUAUGGAGUUUAGUUUGUGGCAUUCUUGCUGAAGGUGGCUUUACCACUGUUGCACUUUGCUUUGACUGGAUGCCUUGAACUGGCCUAGAAUUGUUUGACUUUUUAACUGAUCCUCAACCUCAAGACCUUGGAUGACCCGAGUGUUCUGCACCCAAACCGUUAUAUUUAAUUUCUGACCUUUCUAAUUGAACCUCUAUAUAUCCCACAAGAUUACUAAACCCUUCGACCAAUGGAACUUUCCUUGACACCUUAUUUCCUACUUCACAUCAUGCAAUCUUUGGUAUGCUGUAGCCACAUUGUGCUUUGUGCAACUUUGGAAGUUGAUAAUGAGCUUUGAAAUCCUUUCUUAUUUGCUUAAACAGAACUGAUAAUGGAAAUAUCUUAGAGAAAUAAACCUAAAAGAAAUGAAAUACAAUGACUUUGAGAGCUAGGAAUAAGGAGAAAAAAUCCAUAAUUGGAUGACUGUUUGAAGGGAAAAAAGAAAAGAGACUUAUCUAGGUGGAGCAACUGGUACCAAUGAUCAUGACAUGCAUUUCGGAUUAUAUAGCCUACUCUAUCCAACCAAUCAACUUUUAGUUGUUGUACUUUAAGCCUCGAAACCUUCAGAACCCAAUUUCUUCACCAAAUCACUAACCUUGUCGGUACCCUGAAGGGUUUUCACCAACAAACCUCUCUCGUUUGUUCAUCUAUCAAUUCACUAUCGCCUUAUGGUGCCUAUGAGAGUUUUCACCAACAAGACUAUCUCAUUGUUUCAUUUUUCUGCUUAGAUCGGCGUGUUGCCCCUAAUAUAAAUCACCUCUACUUGCUCGACUUUGCAUCUCUCGAAGACUGAUCGUAAGGUCUUUCGUUGGACGGUAAUGUGGGCAUUUGGAUAGGGUUAAAAAGAAAAAGGUAUCAAAAAGGCUCAAAAUAAUUUAAAUGGAUUUCAAAUUACAACUUUCAGAGUCAGAUUUUUUACAACAAUCACAACUUCUGCCCCAUUUCUUUGCUUGGGGAGUUUUAAAUUUUUAUUUUGAUGGGACCGAACUGUGACCCUGCCUACGUAUCCUUAAAAGUAAUCGGGUCGAACUUAGGUCAUGACAUAAGAACUGCUCCGUUUUGUUGUGAUUUUUUCUUUUCUCUUUCUUUUCUUUCUCUUUUUUUCUUCUUCCUUUUUUUUUUCUCUUUUUGUGGUUUUGUUGUUUUUUUUCUUUUCUUCUUUUUCUUUUUUUUUUCUCUAUUUUUUUCAUUCUUUUUUUCUUUUCACUCUUUUCCUUCACUUAUCUUUUGCACUUGCUUUUCUGAACUUUGCUACUGAUUCCAAAAGAGGGGUAUGAAAGGAAAUAAAUAAGGCUCAUAAGGGGUAACAAAGGAUAAAGUGUUUAGAUAGUAGAAUAAAUUGUCUUUGUCAUUUCAAUCUUCAAAACAUGCCAAGUACAAUUAAAUACAAUUUAAGCAAAAAAAUCAUGCAUAAUAUCUUUUGAUUGCAUCAGAAUUAAUAGCCAUAUCUAUACAUUUGCCUUCUAUAUUUGUUAAAUACCACCAUUGGAAAACACUCUCGUUACAAUGAACGGCCCCUGCCAAUUUGGGGCGAACUUGCCUUUUGCUUCAACCUGAUGUGGAAGGAUACGUCAACACUUGAUGACCCACUUCAAACUUCUGUGGACGCACCUUCUUGUUGUAUGCUCUUUCCAUUAUAUGUUGAUACAACUGGCCAUGAAACACUACCGCCAAUCUUUUCUCAUCGAUCAGACUCAAUUGCUCCAGGUGGGCUUUGACCCACUCAUCAUCAUCAAUUUCGACUUUAGCGACAAUAUGAAGGGAUGGGAUUUCAACUUCUGUGAGUAUCACUACUUUAGUGCCAUAUACCAACAGAUAAUGGAAGCUUUUCAUGCCAUUGACUGGAACCUUCCACCAUUUUUCAAAGUAUCUUCUUUAUGUUCUUGUUGGCUACCUCGACUGCUCCAUUCGCCUUAGGGCGAUAUGGAGUGGAAUUUCGAUGUGUAAUCUGAAACUGCUGACAUACCUCUUUUAUCAAAUGACUAUUGAGAUUUGCACCAUUAUCCGUGAUGAUUACCUUUGGGAUCCCGAAUCGGCAGAUGAUAUUUGAAUGCACAAAAUCGACCACGCUUUCUUGGUCACAGAUUUGAAAGUUUUAGCUUCAACCCACUUGGUGAAAUAAUCAAUGGCCACUAGAAUGAACUUGUGCCCAUCGGACGUUGCUGGCUCGAUGGACACAAUGAUAUCCAUGCCCCAAGCAAUGAAGGGCCAUAGUGCAAAUAUUGUAUGUAAUUCAGAUGAUGGGGAAUGAAUCAGAUCUUUGUGCACCUAACAUUGUUUACAUUUACGCACGAAACUAAUACAAUCUCGCUCCAUGGGGCGGUAUGGGGUGGAAUUGCAAUGCGUAAUCUUAAGCUGUUGAGAUACCUCUUUCAUCAAAUGACUGUUGAGAUUAGCACCAUUAUCUGUGAUGAUCACCUUUGGGAUCCCUAACUAACAAAUAAUACUUGAGUGAACAAAAUCAGCCACUGCUUUCUUGGUUACAAACUUGAAAGUUUUAGCUUCAACCUACUUGGUGAAAUAAUCAUUGGCCAAUACAAUGAACUCAUACCCGUUGGACGCUGCUGGCUCAAUUGGUCCGAUAACAUCCAUACCCCAAGCAACAAAGAGCCACAGUACGGACAUUGUGUGUAAUUCAGAUGGCGGAGAAUGAAUCAAAUCUCUGUGUACUUGGCAUUGAUGACAUUUGCACACAAAACUGAUACAAUCUCGCUCCAUGGUGAGCCAAUAAUAACCUGCUCGGAGAAUUUUCUUUGCCAGAACAUACCCACUCAUAUAAGGUCCACAUACUCUAGAAUGUACUUCGGUCAUGAUAGCUUCGGCCUGUCUAGCAUCUAUGCAUUUCAACAAUCCAAGAUCUGGAGUUCUUUUGUACAGAACUCCUCCACUGAAGAAAAACCCACUUGCCAAACGAGAAAGUAUUCUCUUUUGAUCACCUGUGGCUUGUACUGGAUACACCCACAUCCUAAUAUACUCAUUGAUAUAGUGGAACCACGGAUCACCAUCAAGUUCUUCUUCCACCAUGUUAUAGUAAGCAUGCUGAUCGCGUACCUGAAUAUGCAAAGUGUCAACAUAAGCCUUAUCUGGAUGAUGUAACAUUGACACCAGAGUAGCCAACGCAUCGGCAACCUCAUUAUGGAUCCUUGGAAUAUGCCUGAACUCUACCGAUCGAAACCGUUGACAAAGAUCAUGCAAACAUUGUCGGUACGGUAUGAGUUUUAAAUCCCAUGUUUCCUAUUCUCCUUGAAUUUGGUGCACCAGAAGGUCCGAGUCUCCCAAGAACAAGACUUUCUGGACACCCAUGUCUACAGCUAACCUCAAACCCAAAAUGCAUGCCUCGUGCUCAGCUAUGUUGUUAGUACAGUAGAGACGGAGCUAAGCCAUAAUAGGGUUGUGAUGCCGUGUUUCAUAAAUAAGUAUAGCUCAUAUCCCAGUGCCUUUCAUGUUAGCAGCUCCACCAAAGAAAAGUUUCCAACUUGGCUCUUCAACCUGUUCUAACUCGUCAAUGUGCAUCACCUCUUCAUUAGGGAAGUAAGUCUUCAAAGGUUCAUAUUCUUCAUCCAUCGGGUUCUCGGCCAAAUGGUCGGCCAAUGCUUGGGCUUUCAUCGUAGUCCGAGUCACAUGGACAAUGUCAAAUUCUGUGAGCAAGAUCUGCCACUUUGCGAGUCUCCUUGUGGGCAUAGGCUUCUGAAAGAUCUACUUUAACGGGUCUAAAAGAGAAAUGAGGUAGGUGGUGUAAGAGGACAAAUAAUGCUUCAAUAGGGCAUAGGCUUCUGAAAGAUGUACUUUAACGGGUCCAAACGAGAAAUGAGGUAUGUGGUGUAAGAUGAAAAAUAAUGCUUCAACUUUUGUGCUACCCAAGUUAGGGUGAAACAUGUCCUCUCAAGGUAGGUGUAAUUAACCUCAUAUGAUGUGAACUUCUUGCUAAGAUAAUAGAUGGCUUGCUCCUUCCUGUCGGUGAUGUCAUGCUGACCCAAUACAUAGCCAAAUGAAUUGUCUAAGACCGUCAAAUACAGUAUCAAAGGUCUCCCUGGUUCUGGUGAGACCAACACAAGCGGGUUUGACAAAUAUUUCUUCAUCUUAUUGAAUGCUUUCUGACACUCAUCAGUCCACUUGACCGCGACAUCCUUCUUCAACAGUUUGAAGAUAUGCUCACAAGUUGUCGUAAGCUUAGCAAUAAACCUGUUGAUCUUUGAUGGGUCCAACUCAAUACCUCGAUGGUUGACUAUGAAUCCCAAUAGUUUUCCAGAUGGCAGACUGAAUGUGCUCUUUGUAGGAUUGAGCUUAAGGUUGUACCAGCGGAGCUUUUGGAUGAACUUUCUCAAAUCUCUGACAUGGUCAAAAUGCUUCUUGGACUUUAUGAUCACAUCAUCCACAUUAACCUUGAUCUCCUUGUAUAUCAUGUCGUGGAAUAUGGUCGCCAUUGACCUCAUGUAAGAUGCCCCAGCAUUUUUCAACCGAAAGGUUUGACCUGAUAGCAAUAUGUUCCCCGUGCCGCGAUGAAUGUCGUCUUUUCUGCAUCUUUCUCAUCCAUCAAGAUCUGAUGAUAGCCUGCAUAGCAAUCCACAAAAGAUCCGAUCUCAUGCUUGGCACAAUUAUUAAUCAAAAUAUGGAUAUUUGGCAUUGGGAAAUUGUCCUUUGGACUUGCCUUGUUGAGAUCGCGGUAAUCAACACACACUCUGGUCUUACCAUCCUUCUCUGACACAGGCAAAACAUUGGCCAACCAAGUGGGAUACCGCAUGACUUGAAUUACCCUUGCAUCAAUCUACUUUGUGACCUCUUCUUUAAUCUUCACACUCAUGUCAGUUUUGAACUUCCUCAACUUCUGCUUGACAGGAGGGAAUACCGGGUCAGUGGGAAAUUUGUGAACCACCAAGUUAGUGCUUAGACCUGGCAUGUCGUUAUAUGACCAUGCAAAAUUAUAUUUGUAUUCAAACAAUGCUUUAAUUAUCUCUUUCCUAAUUUGCGAUUCAAGAUGGAUACUUAUCUUAGUUUCUCUAACAUUAUCUGAGUCUCCUAAAUUAAUUGCUUCUGUAUCGCUAGGUUAGGCUUGGGUUUUUCUUCAAAAUGGCUUAAUUAUUUACUAAUCUUUUCAAAGGCCCCAUCCUCAUCAUAUUCUGAUUCAUCAUCACACUCUAUUUAUUGAAUUAUUAUUUCAGAAUUAGAUUGGCUUUUAAGACUGGGAUGAAGAUUCCGCAUGCAUGUCAUAUCAUUGAAACCGGCAUAAAAAGAACUGUACAAGGAAGAAAAGAAAAACAAAAGUAAAACUAUCAGGAAUGAUGGAAAAGGGAAAUUGCAUUUCAUUGAAAUCAAAAGAUAACAAUGUUAUACAUCCAAACGGAUGGAACAUAGAAUCUGAAUUACAACCAUGGAAUAAUCCAGAUACAUUGAAAGAAAAUCAAAGCAAACUACCAAAACUCCUUCCGGGUAGGGAGAGGGGUAGCCUCCCAAUUGUUAAGUUUUGCACUAGGCCCGACAAACUACAUAUCUGCUUUGCUAAAACCUUCUCCAACUUCUUCCAUGUUUACAUUGUCAAACAAACUCUCGAACCUUUUAAUUAACUCUUUAUCAAUGUCAACCACAGAACUUGGAACUAUUGUCAUGGGGCGUUUCUUGUCACCGAAUUUGACAAACGACCUGAAGAUACGUGGGAUAGGCUUUAGAAGGGCCUACGCCUCUGUUUCAAUUUUCUAUCCCUCUUCACAUCUGUGGUUGUGGGUUCGAAUCCCAAACCAAAUGUACCCAAGAUUUUAGGGAGAGACGCCGGUUGUAGAUUUUCUGCAGAGAUGCACCCAAACCCUUACCAGGUACAAAACUAGUUUUCAACAUUUCAAAGGCCACCAUGACUGAGGCGGCGGUUACUUUCGAAAUUGGAACGCAUUUCCCUUCUGGAACGACCGACACUAUUUCAAAAACCUAAUAGAUCCCAAGCCCUUUGUCAUCUCCAAACUCAAUGAACGAGACAACGGCAUCAAUGUAAGCACACAAAUUAUCCUCGUCAUGCACAAUGAUUUUCUGUCCCAUUCAAACAUGUCCAUCAGGUGCGGAGUGGAUGGGACUGCUUUGACAUCAUGAAUCCAAGGUCGACCUAACAACAGAUUGUACGAAAUAGCUACAUCCAGCACCUGGAACUCCAUAGUGAAUUCAAUCGGUCCUAUUGUCAACUCGAGCACUAUAUCACCAACUGAAUCUUUCCCUCCGCCUUCAAAUCCCGGAAUGCAGAUACUGUUCUUGUGAAUCCUUUAUCCUUCACUUUCAACUUGUUCAGAGUAGAGACAGGGCAAAUAUUUGCACUGGAACCAUUGUCAACCAAUACCCUGCUAACCAUAUAAUCUUCACAUUUCACCGUAAGAUAGAGGGAUCUAUUGUGCUCAGUACAUUCCAUAGGCAACUCAUCAUCAGAAAAAGAGACUCUAUUCAAAUAUUUUAUUGGCGAUCUUUUCCAGGUGGCUCACUAAGAUUUUGUCGGGAACAUUAGCCUCUUUCAGGAUUUUCAUCAAGGCCGGCGAUGCUCGUCUGAGUGGAUUACAAUGACAAUAGUGAAAUCUGAGCAUGCGUCUUUCUCAACUCCUCCACGUUGGAAUAGUCUUGUACUUUCAUUUUUCUCAGAAAUUCCUCCGGUUCUUCUUCAGUUACUACUUCUUCACCAGAACUAGGCUAUAUUUGGAGGUUUUAGCUUUCCUUAGCUCUUUCGGGGUAAAACAUCUCCUUGAACGAUUUAAUCCAUAGUCCUCAUAGACUUCUUCAUUAACUUCUUUUCCCUUGUAGGUCAACGUCACUCGUUCAUAGUUCCACGGGAAAACCUUGCUGUUGACUAUUGGCAGAUGGGUUAUAGGCUUGAUGAUGACAGGAUCUGUGUGGGCACCUUCUAUAAUUACGACAGGCUUGUUUGCGACGUUUCUUGUUUUGCUGCAAUGUCACUUGGGGUUCUUUUCUCAAGUACCGCAGAUGGCCCACCGAUUGUCUUGCUUAUCUUUUUCACUGGUCCCUCAACCAUUGAUUUUUUAAUUAGCUUGACCUCACUAGACCAAAUCAUCAUGAUAGUAUGCGAAGGCUUCUUGGGCUUCCCUCCCUUAUGUACUAUCUGGAUCAUAUUCAUUUCCUGAUGGGUUGGAAACGGGUUAUGGUUGAUGUUGGGUGCAUCUGGAGCUUGGAAUUUAAUCCAAUUUGUAUUAAUAAGCUCUUGGAUAACAUUUUUCAAGUUCCAACACUUCUCUGUAUCAUGCCCCAGAGUACCAGAACAAUAUUCAUAACUUACAGAAUAGUCAAGAUUCUUCGGAGGAGGAUCUGGCAAUUUUGACUCAAUUGGCCUCAGCAUAUCCAAUUGCCUCAGCCUGUGGAACAAAUUAGUAUAGUAUUCUCCCAAUGGAGUGAAUGCUUUGUUCCUUUGCAACCUCUCGUUCUUAAAUGCUUGAUUGGGACAAAAACCUAAUCUAGGAGGGUUAUAGUAGGCUCCUGGGGGUGGGUAGGUAUUUUGUGGGGCUGGCACACGAUUUUUGCAUGGACGGAAAGUUAGGUGUAUGUUUGGGCAUGGUGGAUAGAAAAAUGAGGUUCUCGUGAUGCGUAGUAAUGUUGGGGUGGAUUUUACAGGGUUUGGGGGUAGGUUUGGUGGUGGGGUUGAAGCUGAUUAUAAUAGUGGGACGGGCCCUUAGAUCCGAACCAAGCUCCUGAAUCAAUUGUUGCCACUUCCUCUUUCUUCUUCUUUCUGACUACUCCCCCAAUACCGUUCUAAAUGGCCUGUGUAGUUGCCUUAAUAGCCGAAUAACUCAUGAUUUUAUUUGACUUAAGCCCUUCUUCUACCAUGCCACCCAUCUUCACUACUUCAUUGAAGGACUUGCCUAUGCCUGAUACCAAAUGGACGAUCUAAGUAGGUUCUAGGGCAUGCAGAAAAUAAUCCACUAUUUUGCUUCUUUCAUCAGAGGGUCAACCCUUACUUCUUGUUCUCUCCAACAGAAGUCGUACUCCCUAAAACUUUCGCCAGGCUUUUUCUCGAUCUUAGUUAAAGACAGACAACCCAGAAUAAUGUCGAGGCUAUACUAGAAAUGACAAGCAAAUUCUUGGGGUAGAUCAUCCCAUGUAUACCACCUGCCGUGACCCUGCCAAGUGUACCACUCCAGCACCAAACCACUCAGACUAUGGCUAAAAUACGCCAGUAGUAACUCAUCUUUCCUGCCAUCUCCCCUUAUUUUGCUAUAGAAACCUCUCAAGUGCGCCACCGGGUCUCCGUGCCUAUCAUACAAAUAAAAUUUGGGCAUCUUAAACCCCAACGGCAAAUGAUCAUCUGGAAAUAAACAUAGAUCUUUGUAAGACAUGCUCACCUAACCUCCCAAUCUCUGCAUAUUCCUGAAUGAUUGUUCCAGGCUCCUAACCUUCCUAAACAUCUCCUUAUGUUCAAGAUUUUUAGACCGUUUCUCAGUUUCCACAGGGAGAUUGAAGCAAGGAGUGUAGGACUAAGGUUCAGGAGCCUUGAAAGUGGGCUCCGAGGGGUAAUAUUGGUUAUCGUGGGCCUGGAAUAAGGGCUCGCUAGAAAAUCGAUGGAGUGUAGUGGAUGGGGUUGCCACAAAAACAUGAGUGGCUGGUGGAGGAGGGUAUGGAACUUGUUUGGAUGGUGGGGCUUGUAGUGUUUGGGAAGUGAUGCUCUGGUAGUGUUUGGGAAGUGAUGCUCUGGUAGUGGUUGGUAAAUGGGAAAGCCCGGAGAUGAAUCGGUAGUGGGAGGUUCCUGGGAUUGAGCCAAUAAUGUGACAAAAACAGGGUUAGCGGGGUAAGGUGGUGGUGGGUGGCCUUUUGUCCAGGCCUGGUACAUCUCGGCCAUAUGUGUUGUUUCAGCUUAUACAACUCUUCUUUUAGAUUGACAUCUGACUCAUCCCCCUCUCUCUACAGAUCGAUGAUACUUGCUUCCAGUUCUUGGUUAUCCAUGAUGAAUUUGUCUUUGGACCUGGUGUUGUAUGGAUGAGUUACCAGAAUGACAAACAAACUAACCACCUGCCUGGACUCAUUAUCAACAACAAACUUGUUAGCGAUUAGAGCUUAAUGGAUAGGCAACCACACAUUUGGGGAAUGUAAUGCACCUAGCAGUUAACCAUUUCUAUUAUGCAUUUGAUCAGUUACUUGCGUCAUCCCGACUUUCCCUUAUUUGCAACAUCUUCUUCUCUCUUUUUCCACUUAUGCCUUUCUCUGCUUGACUUCUUGUUGUUCUUUAUUCUCUCAUUUCUCUCUCUUGUUUUAACAUUGUUUCCUUCCCACGGUUUCUUGUUUUCUCUCUUUUUUCUUUUCUUUUUCUCUUUUGUUUUCCUCUUUUGUUUUCUCUCUUAUUUUUUUCUUUUAAUUAUGAUCGAAUCUUAUGGAGAUUGCCUUUGUAUCAUGAACCCACAUGAAUCAGAUCGACAAUAGUUCCCCCUGGAUAAGGGAAAAAAUAAAAAAUAAAAAUAUUUUGGGAUUUUCAAAUUUUCCAUAAAAAUAAAAUAUUUUGAUUACAAAGACUCAUCCUACCAAAUUUAAUCGUAAAAACUAACAGACUCGAUAAGGGAAACUACCAGACUCCAAUAGAAAUAUGAAAAUACAGACAAACAGACUCCAACAGAAAGAUGAAAAUGCAGUCUUGAAAACAAACUAACAGACUUCAACAGAAAGAUGAAAAUACAGACUCGAGUAAAAAUCAUGAAUAAAUUAAUGCCUCAACUACUCUUGGGGCCCGUGGGACAUCAGUCGGUCUCGCCACGAGCCUACGCGCCAAAUCUCAUUUAAGAUGGUAGAGAUCCUCCAUUAUCUAGAAGACAAAGGUCAUUACAAUGGCAAAAAACAUGGAUCUAGUCAUGUCCUCACACCUACUGCAUUUCAUCGCAAUAUAGUCGGUGAUCCUUCUGACUCUUUCUCUUAUGACACCCUUUAUUUGCAAUAACCGCACAAUCUGCUGGGUCCUAGCUUCCAAAGUUUAUUCAGCUACAUGAUUCUGUUCUUGAAGUUGUUGCAAAUCUCUUUCUAACUAUGUCAUUGUUGCAUAACAGUGUUCUCUUUCUGCUUUAAAGUCUUUUGCCUGCUUAAUCAUUUUGUUCUCAUGGACGGUGAUCUUUUUCGUCAACCCCAUACCUCAUUGCCAUAUUUCUCUUUUAACUGUUUAACCAAGCGUGCUCGCUCCUCCAUAAUCUUAGCCAAUUUUGUUCGAGCCCUUAGUUCACCCUAUGCUUUGUUAAGAUCAAAACCAUACUCACUCACCUUCUGUCUAAGGUUAUUUAUAAGCUUUCCAUCUUUUUCACUUCAAACAAGGUUUUCGGCUGCUAAUUUGAUUUCUCGAAUUUGAGCUCGAAGGGCAUCAUUUUCUAUGGCUAGAUUUUUCUUCUCGCCCUCAUCCGCGGCGGCUUACAAAUCAUUCUCAAAUUGAAGAUCCUUGACCUACUUUUCCAGCUUGCUUAUGGUAGCCCUAUACUCAUUUUCUCUAGCCAACCAAUCCCAUUGCACAUGUGCUCCAUUAGUGAAUUAUUGCACAUGGGGCUUUUUUGCGGGCCGUUCAACUCUUGAUGGACUCGAGAUCUUUUAUCGUACCAAGUAGUUUAGCUAGGCUUCAACUCACCUCUGGAUAGAUCUUGUACUUGAGUCUUGGGCUCUAAGAACCUGCACUGAUGCCAAAUCCAGCGCACCUUCUUUUCUGGGAAAGCUGCUUCUGGUUCCAACUCAAUGAUCUAUCGACUCAAAUCCUCAUCAGGUGGGAUGGUCUGGUAUCUGUCUAACUAACGUAGAACUCUAUGCGAGGCAUAAGCCUGGAUGCUCCGAAGGCCCAUCAGUAGAAGAAAACACAACUCGACUGACAUAUGAAUGAAUUUACCGAUCGAGAGCCACCCGAAUGUCCAUUCAAUCUUUUUUGCAGUCAAAGAGCUCAAGUAUGCAUACCAUACUUCCAUACUGUUCGGAAAAUCACAACCCUCCACCCGUUGUUCAUGUUUUUCAAUGCAUUCAAGACUGGUCAUGCCACAGUUCAUAUACCUCGGGCGGUGGCAAAGGUGUUCUUCCAUCCAAAGUUGUAAAAGCAUAUUGCAUCCUUCAAAAAACCUUCCCCCUUCUCGGCAGAGGGUCAGAGCUCGGUAAAUUUCUGCCAAGAUCAGCGGUACGAUAGUCCCAUUUGCCUUUUUCAUCAUGACGUUAGCUAUCCCUACGAGCCCCAACUCUAUGUUCCCAUCUUUUCUGGGGAAAAUCAAAACGCCACUAUAAAAUCUAAUCCUCUCCUAGCUUCCCACUUAUCUUUGUUUCCCGAGUUAGUAAGACCGCUAUCUGGCAUCUCGAAGCCGCAGAGAUUCUUGUAACGUCGGUACAAAAUCCUUUGGCCAAAUUUUCGUCUUGAAUUUCCCGACUGAUGCUUAACAGGUCCAAAACAUUGUGAGGGUUAUUGUUCUAGGUGUCACCGGGCAUUGAUUUAUAAUAUUUCCACUAAAACCAGCGUAACCCGCUAUCAAGCAUAGGAGUUAGCUCAAAAUCAGCAAAGUGGAAUACAUUAUGUGCUGGAUCACAGAAGGGUAUUAGGGACUCAAUUACAUCAUUCCUCGGCUUUAUCUUCAAGAUCCCGACAAGACCACCCAACAUUUUUAUCACAAUUUUUCUGCUGUCCUCCCCCAAAUCAUGCCACCACAUAUGUAGCUCUAACGGGAUUUUCUCACGGAAUAAGAAAGGUUCAUUUUGAGUUGUGCUCAUCCUGCAAAUUUAUUUAAGGUGAUUGAUUAAAAGACAAUGAUUUACUUUGACUCCAGAGAAAAAACACUCAUUUUCCAAAAUUUAAAACGAAACAUUCUUGUGAAUACAGCCCUUCAACACCUUACGAUAAAAGGAUAAAUUUUAGGGCAGUUUUUGUUGAUUACCAAAAUUUGAAAAAGGACCCUAAGUGUCUAUUCUUGCAAUAAACGGCCUUCCAGCACCUUUUGGGGCAUUUUUGUCUAUUUGGAUAAGAAUAUGGCGCCACGUUAUUACUCAUGACAAAACAACGACACUUCAUGCACAGAGUAUUUUUUAUAUUUUUGCAAAAAUAGUAUGACCCAAUGUGGGUGGCCUUCGUAAUUCACAUCCGGUGAGAAUCAAACUUGCAUAGUUCGGCCAAUUUUGAUGCAACAGAAGACACAAACUUUUGAAACAACUCUUUCUUUCAUCUAUUUUUUUUAGAAAAUUUGGCAGAGUUUUCGGGUAGUUUGGUCACCGAUUUCUCACAGGUGGGUAAUUUCCUCACUCUCACCUCAAUUUGGGCGGGUAGUUUCCUCACUCUCACCUCAAUUUGGUUUGUCUAUAUUUUUCCCUUAUUCUAGAAGCCGGUCAAUAUGCAGUCCAAAUCAAAUAAAUACGCAAGUAGCAAGCAAAAUGUAUCAGGACGUUCUUUUGAUUUCAAGUGCACAUGUCCUAGAGGACCUAACCCGUUGAGUCCCCAAAGUCAAAAUGCACAUGAUGCAAACAAGCGUUUCUACUAGGGAUCCGAUAUGAUGCUAUAUUAUACUAGGUUUGAGAACCUGGGUUUAUUCUUCUAUACAUGGCUUACCUGAGCGGACAGCUCGAGGGGGGGGCAGCGUAUCGGGAAUACAAAAGCUUCACCGACUUUGCAACUUGUCCGAACCUCGUUUUAAAAUUGGAAUGACUCUAAAAAAAUAGAAGUCACACGAAGUGCACACUUCCCAGAUGGUUUAUAAGACUCUGAGAGAGGAUGGAUUUGUAACAAUUUAUAUACAAUUCAACAAUAUCAAAACGGUCAAAAAAACAUUUAGCACAUUAGGCCCAAACAUGUGAAUAAAACCAGAUAAUAAAUAAAUUCAAAUAUAACAAUUAUUCUAAGCUCAAAUUCUGAACCCUAAACCAGAAGUUCUAGGUUCUUAUUCCCCAGCAGAGUGCAAGAGCUAUCACACCUCCUUUUUCUUACCCUCGAAAGGGAGUAAGGAAGUUUUUUCCAAUUAAGUGACUAUCGAGACAGGAUUAUUUGUUUUCAAUUCAGAUCCGCCACUUGGGAUAAUUUAUGGUGUCCCAAGUCACCGGUUUAAAUCCUCAAUGGAGGAAAGAUUGACUUUGUUUACGGUUCGCGAACACAGAAAUCGGGUAAUGAAUUCUGUUAAUCCGGGAGAAGGUGUUAGGCAUUCUUGGGUUCUGUGGUUCUAGCAUGGGCUCUCAACUAUUAGAUUUGGCCUAUUUACUAAUUCUAAAACACCUUUAAGCCUAUGUGCAUUUUAACUUUAAAUCACUUUUAAUUAUUUUAAGGAAGAUUUUAACGUCAUCUAAAACACGUCUUUGGAUCACGCCACAUGAAAUACACUUGCAGUCCAAGACACACUUUAUUUGAUAUUGUAAACAUUUAGAUUUGGGUCACAUGAAAUGCACACCCGAGUUUAGGAAGAUAAUUUUUUAAAUAACGCGCCAAAUGCAACUACGCACUUUCAGUUUUGCGAGGGCCAUGGAAAAUUCAGCUAAAUGUAACGCCUCAACUUUUAAGGAUUUAGAUAUUCAAGAUCAAUUAAAUGAGGUCCGCGCACUUUGAGAUUUUAUUUGGCACGGCCCACCUCGAUUCGAAUUUAAAAGAAAAUUCAAACUAAAAUUUUGAGAGCCAUAAGCUAUAUGCAUUAUAUGAUAUGGCUCACCUCAAUUCAUUUUAGGAAGACUAGUUAAUUAAGAGAAAACUUAAAGGGAUUUUAACUAACCAUUCAAACUCAUAUAACAACUACCUAAAGAGCUGAACUUGACGAAAUGUCAUGGGCUCAAGCAGCCAAGAGGUAAGAAGUCUGAUUACAAAGGACUUCAAGCUUGGGCCCAAAAUGAUUUGAAUUUUUGGUGACGACAAGGACGUCCAAGAGUAUAUAAUACGCAAACCAGUUCUGAUUUUGAAUGCCAUAACUAGGCCAAUUUUAGGCCCAAUUUUCAGAACCAAAACUUAUGUAAAAUCAAUUAAAUAACAAUCAACCCAAAACCAUAUGAAAAUAUGAAAUUUCACUAGCAUUUAAUUCUGAAUUUUAAUUACUAAUUUCGAGUCCAACCCAUUACGAGAAAAUCUAGAAGCAAAAAAAGAAACACUAGGCUCAAGAAAUAAGCUCGAGCAGCCAUGGUAUACUAUCCUCUCUUGCUAAGGACCUCAAAUCCCAGGCUUAAGAAGCCCAAACCUUGCCAAAAUCCAAAUCAAGGACCAAGACUCCAUAUCGAGUUCUCACCGGCAAUAAAAUACCAGCUGCAUUUAAAAAACAAAGGAUAAGCUUCAUUAUUCCACAAUCACUGGAAUAUAGGGAAAUUUUAAAAGCUACUGAAAAUGCAUGCUUAAACUUUAACUAUAAUGAUAAUGCAUUUUACCAAUAUUCAUGCUUGAAUCCAAACUUAAACUCAAACACAGCAUGAAAAAAACUUCAAAACCAUUCACCUUCCUCAAUACCAAACAGUCCCGAGUUCUAGAUAAUUAGCACAAGUUGCUUCAAUCCAAAUUCAACACCCAAACUUCUUAAACAGAAUAAGUUCAUUUCUGUAGCACAUCAAUAACCUAAGGUAACUGAGCUAACAUGAACAACACAUGAUCCAUUACAGAACUUUUAAACAAUGGUAGAAGCAAAUGAAAUGGGAAUCUAAGACAACGUGCAUUCAAUCAGGCCUCAAUUGGAAGUACAUGUUCUUAGCUACUUGUUGACAAUUGUUUGAAGUAAUACUUGGAAAUCGCCAAAAGGAAAAGCCAAGAGAGUGAGGGAGAAGCAAACAACAGAAAUCAACAGUGUAACAGUGUAGGAACCCAGAUUCAAGCAAUAAAACAGUAAAAAAACCAAACAACAAUACUUAAAACAAACUUUUGCAGGUCCCAAAUUCAAUCCAUUUCAACCCAAUUGCAAGAUUUUGCCUUUUUUGGGAGUGUUAACAAAGCAAUGAAGAUCAAUAAACAAGAAAUCAAACAAAUUUUGAGUAGGUUUGAACAAGGAAAUGUAUGAAAUUCAGGAAUAUUUCAAAGUUUUUCAAAGGAAGUAGCCAUUUCAGCUUUUAGGAUCUUUUUCUCUCUUAAGUAUAACUUCAAUCUCAAGUAACGAUGCCUUUAUAGGCAAGGUAUUAGGGCUGAAGAAAAUGAGCUAAAUUUUGCACCCUAACCCUUUUGAAAUUUUGGUUUUUUCUUAGACACCCUUAGUCUAAAAUUCAAAAAUUUAGAUUAAUCCCCACCCCAACUUCUAAGAAGCUUCCUCAGUUAGUUACCAGAGACUCUCCAAGCUAAUCUACCCAUAGUGCCCUUUAAACCCAUGCUUUUUACUUCAGAAACCAACUGGGUCAGAUUCCCAUUUACUUAACCCCCAAAUGAAUGAGUUGUUCUUUUGAACAUGGGUCGAAAUUGAACCCAAAUCCAAAACAACAAUGGACCCAACUAGAUUCUGAUUUUACCAACAGCAGAAAACAUUUGAAAACUAAGUUUUAACUACAUGACUAAUUAAUUACAUAACCAAGAAAAGAGUGAAUUAGGGUAUUAAAAUGAGUCGACCAAAUUAAAUUCACAUAUGAGACUACCUUGCUCGAAUCAGUAUACUUCAAUAAAGAUGAGAAGAGAAUAUGAGAAGUAGGACAUGAAUCAAAAAUGGACAAAAGAAAAAGAUCAAGGAAAGCUUACCGACUAAAACUCGACGCUAAUGCUGGACUUCCUGAUUUAACACAAUCAAUGUUAGUCGCUUGUUCUUUGUUAAUAACAAAUGACCAACACCACUUAUGCCGAAUUAGACAUGAAAAAUCUUGAGACUUCUAACACCUGUGGUCAUGCAAGACACAAAAUAAUAGGCAAAGCGAUUUGGCUUCCUAGGGCUUCGAACUUUGAUUCGAGAUUCGAAGGGAUUGAGAGAGAUUUGAGGGAGCUGUGUUGAGAUUCAUAGAGAGAAGGGUGAGGUGGUUCAGGCUCAAUAUUUAUAUGUACAAACCGUGGCCUCAGGCUCAAUAAUUAUGUGUACAAAUCGUGGCCUCGGGCCUAAGUAUACGUAUACAUAACUGCGAUUUCAGACCCAAAAAUGAUUAAAGCAUAAACUAUAACAUCAGGCCCAAAGAUGCAUAAAGCAUAAACUGCACCGUCAGACCCAAAAAUGCAUAAAGCAUAAAUUGCGGCCUCAAGCUCAAAUAAAUAUGUUCAACAAUCAAGAAUUUAAAACGAAGAAAUGAGAAUCAUACUACAAUACAUGAUAUUGAAAUACUAAAUCAUAUUGAGUUACGUGAUACUAGAAUGUUACAUAGAACAAGACAGGACCAUGUAUUCACAAUAAAAUAAUUUGUCACAACUGAGGCUUAUAAUAUGUUGAAUGAAUUCUGAACUAUGUCAUCUAGAGAAUAGAAGUUCUACAAACUUUCAUGGAACUGAGGCAUAAUAACUUGCCGAGGGAUUCGCAAUAGUCAUAAAGAAUGAGACAUAAGGAGAAUCAUAAAUAUUCUCCACGUAGAUAGUUAGCCACACAUACCUUAACUUCCUGCACUUAUGUGUAAGACAAGAUUUGUCAGCCCUUUCAACUUUAAUCUAUAGCAAUAAAAGUCAAAGGGAUUCCAUAUUAGCAAUAAUACUCAAGUUUUGGUCACUUAGACAUUCUACCAAACACUUGAUGGGUAUAAAUAUUCAUAGUCCUUAUUAAUGGAGUUUCUAUACCCAAUAAUCCAUUCUCUUGCUCCUAGAUAAAUUCUAAAAUCUCAAAUAGUUAUAAUCAAUAUCCUUCUUCAUCACCCAUAAGAUAAAUAACACCCUUUAACUAAUAAUCAACAAUUAACAACUCAAACCUAUAAUCGUUCAUGCUUUUCUGUCCAAAUAACCCAUAUCCCAUGAACUAUAGUCUAUAGUCAUUAAUCCAAUACUAUAAUUAAGUAGAGAGUGAAGAUAUCAUCUUUUUGAUGUUCAAUCCUCUUGAAUGCGAGUACUAUAGGUUGUUUUCUCAACAAUGGUGUCCCAAAUGAUUUGAAGGAUUCACCCAUGUUAAUAAGGUGUUGAAGAAUUAUAAUUAAGUUUGUUAUACCCUGUAUUUUCCACCCUCGGGAGUCGUGAUAGCGCCUACUCGUGAAAUCCAGGCAAGCCGAGUAUUAUAAAUUCAUUACAAUUUUUAUUACGCAUGUUCAAAAUUUCAAUAUAAUAGCAAUUAAAAAGUGGAAUAAAUUAAAUAACUAGAAAUGCAAAAUACGUAAACUUAAUAGUUUAACCAAAUGUUUGCUACAUAAUCUGAAGUACAAUACUACCUAAAAUUUAAUUUCACAAGUCACGUACCCUCUACGAAUACUACAAAUAAUGUCUGAAUAGAAAUACAUGAUUCUAUCUUUAAAUAAGAAAAAAUAGAAGGAAAUGAUAGAAGGAGACGCCAAGGCCCGCGGACGUCCGCAGGACUACCUCAGGUCAUAUGUUAGACUGAAUUCACAACCUCACUGCGGUCCAAAUGCUCCGAUAUCAGUAUCUACACACAGUGCAGAGUGUAGUAUUAGCACCACUAACCCCAUCUGCUGGUAAGUGCCUAGCCUAACCUCGGUGAAGUAAUGACGAGGCUAGAACUAGACUACCAAAUAAACUUGUGCAGUUAAAUCAUACACAGCAGAAAAUAAAAUCAGAUAUUCACAGUUAACGAUAGGAGGGGGAAAAUAUGCUGCUGGGAAUAUCAAUUAACAACCGAAUCUAAAAAGAGGAAUGUAAAGAAAUCAAGAUUCAAUUACUAACAAGGAUAAGGAAAACAACCACAGUAUUCACUUUCAUAUAUCUUGUUACAGGCGUGCAAUCCGCCCCCAUUUCAUGUAUCUCGUUGUAGGUGUGCAACUCACUCCUAUUUCAUAUAUCCCGUUGCAAGCGUACAAUUCGCUCCCAUUUCAUAUAUCUUGUUGCAGGCAUGCAACUCGCUCCCGCUUCAUAUAUCCCGUUUGAGGCGUGCAACCCGCUCCCAUUUCAAGUAUGUUGUUACAGGCGUGCAGCCCACUCCCAUUUCAUAUAUCCUAUUGCAGGCGUACAACCCGCUCCCAUUUCAUAUAUCACAUUGUAGGCGUGCAACCCGCUCCUAUUUCAUAUAUCACAUUGUAGGCGUGCAACCCGCUCCUAUUUCAUAUAUCUCGUUGCAAGCGUGCAACCCGCUCCUAUUUCAUAUAUCCCGUUGCAGGCGUGCAACCGGCUCCCAUUUUCAAUUCAACAUCAAUCAUAAAAGAAUCCUGGAAAGGGAACAAGAAUAUAACAACAACAUCUCGGCAAGGGAGAUAAGGCCAUAAACAACAAAAUGCACUUUCAGUUUUGCGAGGGCCAUGAAUAACAUCUCAGCAAGGAAACAAUAUCAUAAACAAUGACAUCCCGGCAAGAGAACCAACAAUGGUAGUCAACCUAUUAGGUAUGAAAAAAUCACAAUGGAGUCACAACAAUUACAAUACGAGACUCACGGGCAUGCUUGCCACCGACGUAUAGAUACCUGUCACCAUGCAUAUAUGUCGUACUCCACAAUUAAUACAUAGAAAAUAAGACACAACGCUUAUCCCUUAAGCUAAGGUUAGACCAAACACUUACCUUGAUGCCACAAACUCAAUUCAAGCCUCAACUCUCUUGAUUCCACCACCAAUUCGUUCGUAUCUAGUUACAAGUUACUUAACGAUAUCAAUAAAUGCUAAAUGAAUCAAUUCUAAUGCAUGAAAAUAGAUUUUCUAAAGUUUUUUUUAAAAAAUCAAUAAUCAAACCCGGGCCCACAUGGUCAAAACCGAGGUUCAAACAGAAAUCUGAUUACCCAUUCACCCACAAACCCAAAUAUAUAAUUUUUUUAAAAUCGGACCUCAAAUCGAAGUCCAAAUCCCCAAAAUUUGAUAAACCUAGGUUUUACCCAAAUCACCCAAUUUCCCCCAUGAAAAUCUUUGAUUUUGAGUUGAAAUCAUGAGAAACGAUGUCAAAGAUUAAUGAAAACGAGUUAGAAAUGACUUACAAUCGAUUUGGAAGAGUACUUGUCUUUGANNNNNNNNNNNNNNNNNNNNNNNNNNNNNNNNNNNNNNNNNNNNNNUGACUUCCAAUCGAUUUGGAAGAGUACUUGUCUUUGAAAAAUCGCCCAAAGGUGUUUAGGUUUUGAAAGGGUUUGAAAAAUAAAAACAUUUCGGCUAAGUUAUGAAUUUGUAGGUCGCAAAUGUUGCAAUUGCAGCCAGGGUUCACAAUUGCAAACCUCUUCAGGACCUGUUAUCAUCGCAUUUGCGCUCAAUGUUCGCACUUGUGAACUCACAUUUGAGAUGGGACAGUUGCAUUUGCGAUGACUGGGGAUUCUUCGAUUUUCCGCAUUUAUGACCAAAUGAUCGCAUUUGCAAUCAGAACCGCCCAGGCCCUCUCUUGCAUUUGUGAUGCUUUAUAAGAAUUUGCGAUCUCGCAUUUUUGAGCUAGGCUUCAUAAAUGCGAAUCCUGCAGUCCUGCAACAUACCAACAAUUGUUAAGUGCAAAUUUCACUCUAUGGCCUAUCCAAAACUCACCCGAGCCCUCGUCUCCAAACCAAACAUGCACACCAACCUAAAAACAUCAUACAAACUUGCUCGUGUAAUCAAAUCAUCAAAAUAACAUCAGCCACUAUGAAUUAAACCCCAAAUUCAUGAAAUCAUUCAAGAACACCAAAAUUUGAAUUUAUCAACUUUAAGUCCGUUUUAUACUAAACCAUUCCCGAUCUUUUUCAAAUUUUACAAAUUCAACCAAAUUACUAUUUCACACUUGUACAGGGUUCCAGAUCCAAAAUAGGGCCUAAUACCAUCAAAUUCAAACAUAUUUCAUUUCCAAAAACUCAUACAUAUUCAAGAAAAUAAUUUUCUUUAAAAAUUCAUUUCUCGGACUUGGGACCUCGGGAUUCGAUUCCGGGCAUACACACAAGUUCUAUAUUUUUCUACGGUCCCGGAGGGUCUAGAUCCUAUUACCCAAAAUGUUGACCGAAGUCAACUAAAAUUCAUUAUAGAAUCAAAAUUUACCAUUUUCCACAGAUUUUCACAUAAUGGAUUUUCGGAUAUAAACUCGGAUUGUGUACGCGAAUCGAGGGUGAGACAAAAUAGAGGUUUUAAGGCCUCGAGAUACAGAAUUUAUAAUAAAAUAAGUGAUGACCUUUUGGGUCUUCAUAAACUUAUAAUCACCAUUAGAAUUCGCUUUGGGUGGUGGAGGGACCUUGGGAGUGGUUAGGUUUUUGAGAGCUUUCCUUUGUAGAGCAAGUUUUUAUGUUUUGGGUCUGGGGAACGAAGUAGAGCUUUUAAAAAAUGACCACCCACCCGAGUGCUCCCCCUACACUUGAAGCCCCAACAGCGCACCUGAAUGCGCAACGGGGCAGUAGCACUGCCACAAGUGCGCAUCGCGCACGAGACCACCGGGCGCGCUCCUGGACAUGCAUACCGUGAAUUGUUCUAUAAAAUGCACAUACCUUUUUUCAAAAAGAUUCAUUCGGGAUCCAUAAUAUGUCAUUGGAAAUCUAUUACAAAAGGCUACAACUUUCGUCUUUUGAGGUUUCCUAAAUUACUGAUCAUUUUCAUUAAAUCCUUAUGGAAGAUAGAUAUUUUGUAAACUUAAUCGAUUUUAUCGAGUCUUAUACACCUCACUCUUCGUAUUAAUUCUAAAACAACUAUUUUCACCCAUACUCAUACCGAUAGAAUUUCACAUGUCUAAAAUAUAAUACUACUACUCAUUUAACGCGUUCAUAGCUAAGCCGAAUUUACGGGGCAUUACACUAGCAACUAUGGUCUAUAUAAAUGCUUAGAACCCAUCAUAUGCACUCUUCAUACCUUUCCUCAAUUUUUAAGCUCAUGCCAAGAUCAUUUAAAAUAUUCAUGCGACUCUCUCUAACAUCCUCGACUCAAACUUGAUUCUAAUACAUUCCACACCAUGACUCGUUCCUUGUGCCAACUCAAAAAUCAAGGUCUCUAUCAAUCCUUGCAAAUCAUGUGCCUUAUCCAACAAAUCACAAUAAAGUAGUCCACACACUCAAUAUAAGUUCAAGUAUAUUUUGAGGACUCAAAUAUUGAAUGAAUUUUCUCACUCUCACAAUAACUCUAAUGCCACCAAAGUUUGUACCAUAGGCUUGCCCAUAGUGUAAGUCUUUACUAAUUUAAGCUUGCAAAGUCUAGGAUCAAGUAUGACUUUAUAGUUCUAAUAUAGGCUAAGGGACGGGUGAUAUAUUUGAGAAAAAAGUGACUAACCCUCAUAAGUACUUUAAUACAACGGAAAAGGGUCAAAACUACCCCUAGACAAUUGGAGUUGGUACAAUAAUGCCCUCCGUCCANNNNNNNNNNNNNNNNNNNNNNNNNNNNNNNNNNNNNNNNNNNNNNNNNNNNNNNNNNNNNNNNNNNNNNNUACAAUAAUGCCCUCCGUCCACCUAUUUUGAAAAAAUUGCCCUCACCGUUAUCUUUUUGGCUCAAGAAUGCCCUUACGACUAACGGCCAUGUUAGAUAAUAAAUAAUUAAUUACCAUGUGCCAUAACGAAAAAAUGGUCAAAACUGCGCCUAGACUAUUGGAGUUGGUACAAUAAUACCCCCAUCUCAAAA
rnacentral:lncRNA from 1 species